rnacentral:tRNA from 1 species
GGCGGGAUAGCUCAGGUGGUUAGAGCGUUGGAUUCAUAACCCAAAGGUCUCGGGUUCAACUCCCGAUCCCGCUACAA